rnacentral:rRNA from 1 species
AGAGUUUGAUCCUGGCUCAGAAUCAACGCUGGCGGCGUGCCUAACACAUGCAAGUCGAACGCGAAAGUCCCGCAAGGGAUAAGUAGAGUGGCAAACGGGUGAGUAACACGUGGGUGACCUGCCUUCGAGCGGGGGAUAACGUCCCGAAAGGGACGCUAAUACCGCAUGACAUCCUGCCUUUGAACAGGUGGAGAUCAAAGCUGGGGACCCGCAAGGGCCUGGCGCUCAAAGAGGGGCCCGCGUCUGAUUAGCUAGUUGGUGGGGUAAUGGCUCACCAAGGCAACGAUCAGUAUCCGGCCUGAGAGGGCGGACGGACACACUGGGACUGAGACACGGCCCAGACUCCUACGGGAGGCAGCAGUGGGGAAUUGUUCGCAAUGGGCGCAAGCCUGACGACGCAACGCCGCGUGGAGGAUGAAGACCUUCGGGUCGUAAACUCCUUUCGAUCGAGACGAAUGGUUUCCGGGUGAACAAUCCGGAAAAAUGACGGUACCGAGAGAAGAAGCCCCGGCUAACUCCGUGCCAGCAGCCGCGGUAAUA